rnacentral:rRNA from 1 species
GUAGGGGGCAAGCGUUGUCCGGAAUGACUGGGCGUAAAGGGUGUGUAGGCGGGCUCGCAAGUUGGAUGUGAAUACCCAGAGCUUAACUCGGGUGCUGCAUCUGAAACUACGAGUCUUGAGUGUCGGAGAGGUAAGUGGAAUUCCUAGUGUAGCGGUGGAAUGCGUAGAUAUUAGGAGGAACAUCAGUGGCGAAGGCGACUUACUGGACGAUAACUGACGCUGAGGCACGAAAGCGUGGGGAGCAAACAGGAUUAGAUACCCUGGUAGUCCACGCCGUAAACGAUGGAUACUAGAUGUAGGAGGUAUUGACUCCUUCUGCGUCGCAGCUAACGCAAUAAGUAUCCCGCCUGGGGAGU